rnacentral:rRNA from 1 species
GCGAACGCUGGCGGCAGGCCUAACCCCUGCCAGUCGCACGAACUCUUCGGAGUUAGUGGCGGACGGGUGAGUAACACGUGGGAACGUGCCUUUAGGUUCGGAAUAACUCAGGGAAACUUGUGCUAAUACCGAAUGUGCCCUUCGGGGGAAAGAUUUAUCGCCUUUAGAGCGGCCCGCGUCUGAUUAGCUAGUUGGUGAGGUAAAGGCUCACCAAGGCGACGAUCAGUAGCUGGUCUGAGAGGAUGAUCAGCCACAUUGGGACUGAGACACGGCCCAAACUCCUACGGGAGGCAGCAGUGGGGAAUCUUGCGCAAUGGGCGAAAGCCUGACGCAGCCAUGCCGCGUGAAUGAUGAAGGUCUUAGGAUUGUAAAAUUCUUUCACCGGGGACGAUAAUGACGGUACCCGGAGAAGAAGCCCCGGCUAACUUCGUG